AGGAAGGUGGCUCAGUGGUAGAGUGCUUGCCUUGCAUGCAUGAGGCCCUCAAUUCCAUUCCUC
rfam:Dipodomys ordii contig_66814, whole genome shotgun sequence.